ensembl:lncRNA
AUAGAACCCGUAGAUGGCGAGGGUGAGAGGACAGGGAGAGGUAAAGAGAUCGAAAGAGAGAUGUUUUUCCUCCUCGCGACAGUAAUGUCAUCUCCCAGCGGACUUCGAGGCAGUUGUGGGCUGCCGUCUCCUGCCUGCAGCCUCCCAGCUGAGGCAAGCCAGACAGACAGACGUAGGUCGAUAAUAACGGCACUAGCUACUCUCUUCCGCAACGUCAAGCUACGCCUCUGAGAGACGCUGGAGGAAAGACGCAAAAGAAUGAAGGGAAGUGGUUAAGAUGUGAGAAGACUGUGGCAAAACAGCCUUAGGAGAGAGAACGCAUCUAGACGCUGGAGCAGAGGAACAAACGUGCUGAUGAUAAAUGAAAUUUGUUUGAAAUUACAAAGAAAGAGGCGCAUCAAGCAUCAUCAAGGGGAUUCCACAUCAGCCACAGGUUUCACUAAUUGAAGACAGACAUUCAUUUCGCUACAAAGGCUAAAUUUGAAACCCGGAGCUCAGACUUUCCCUGAUUACUGUCGUGUCGCGCUGACAGAUAGACUCGGAGUUCAUUCGCUCCACUGAGGAUGGCUGUAUAAACCCAACAGGCCUUUAGGAACAACA